GACGAACGCUGGCGGCGUGCUUAACACAUGCAAGUCGAACGGUGAAGCGCCUUCCUUUUUGGUGGGUGUGGAUGAGUGGCGAACGGGUGAGUAACACGUGAGUAACCUGCCCCCUUCUUCUGGAUAACCGCAUGAAAGUGUGGCUAAUACGGGAUAUUCUGGGUCUGUCGCAUGAUGGGUCUGGGAAAGAUAUUGUUUCGGUGGGGGAUGGGCUCGCGGCCUAUCAGCUUGUUGGUGGGGUGAUGGCCUACCAAGGCGGUGAGGGGUAGCCGGCCUGAGAGGGUGGACGGUCACACUGGGACUGAGACACGGCCCAGACUCCUACGGGAGGCAGCAGUGGGGAAUAUUGCACAAUGGGCGCAAGCCUGAUGCAGCGACGCCGCGUGAGGGAUGGAGGCCUUCGGGUUGUGAACCUCUUUCGCCAGUGAAGCAGGCCUGCCUCGUUUGUGGGUGGGUUGACAGUAGCUGGAUAAGAAGCGCCGGCUAACUACGUG
rnacentral:rRNA from 1 species